UGGGGAAUAUUGGUCAAUGGGCGAAAGCCUGAACCAGCAAUGCCGCGUGAGUGAUGAAGGCCUUAGGGUUGUAAAGCUCUGUCAGUGGGAACGAAUAAGCCGGUUAAUACCCGGUGGUGACGGUACCCACAAAGGAAGCACCGGCUAACUCUGUGCCAGCAGCCGCGGUAAUACAGAGGGUGCAAGCGUUGUUCGGAAUUACUGGGCGUAAAGCGCGUGUAGGCGGUUUCGUAAGUCGGUCGUGAAAGCCCUGGGCUUAACCCAGGAACUGCGAUCGAAACUGUGAGACUAGAGUAUCGGAGGGGGUGGCGGAAUUCCCGGUGUAGAGGUGAAAUUCGUAGAUAUCGGGAGGAACACCUGUGGCGAAGGCGGCCACCUGGAAGAUUACUGACGCUGAGACGCGAAAGCGUGGGGAGCAAACAGG
rnacentral:rRNA from 1 species